AUGCAGCGAGCUACCAACUAUAGGAUGGAUUACUCAGUACGAGCAGCUGAAGUGACAGUAGGCAGCUACUGCGCCUGCGUA